rnacentral:rRNA from 1 species
GACGAACGCUGGCGGCGUGCUUAACACAUGCAAGUCGAACGGAAAGGCCCUGCUUUUGUGGGGUGCUCGAGUGGCGAACGGGUGAGUAACACGUGAGUAACCUGCCCUUGACUUUGGGAUAACUUCAGGAAACUGGGGCUAAUACCGGAUAGGAGCUCCUGCUGCAUGGUGGGGGUUGGAAAGUUUCGGCGGUUGGGGAUGGACUCGCGGCUUAUCAGCUUGUUGGUGGGGUAGUGGCUUACCAAGGCUUUGACGGGUAGCCGGCCUGAGAGGGUGACCGGCCACAUUGGGACUGAGAUACGGCGCAGACUGCUACGGGAGGCAGCAGUGGGGAAUAUUGCACAAUGGGCGGAAGCCUGAUGCAGCAACGCCGCGUGCGGGAUGACGGCCUUCGGGGUGUAAACCGCUUUCGCCUGUGACGAAGCGUGAGUGACGGUAAUGGGUAAAGAAGCACCGGCUAACUACGUG